rnacentral:lncRNA from 1 species
CGGACAGGGAGGAGUGGCAGUACCUUGGCACCUGGCAGCGCGGUAACAGUCGUGAAGAAGCACCUAAAGUACAGAAGAAGGCAGGAUGUCCUCAGUGUUGUCUGAGUACACCAUUGGUGGGGUGAAGAUUCACUUUCCCUGUAGAGCUUAUCCAGCGCAGCUUGCUAUGAUGAAUUCUAUUGUCAGAGGGCUAAACAGUAGCCAACAUUGUUUGUUGGAGAGUCCCACAGGAAGUGGAAAAAGUUUAGCCUUACUUUGUUCUGCAUUAGCAUGGCAACAGUCUCUUACUGGGAAGCCAGUGGAUGAGGGCCUGAAUAAAAAGCCUGAAGCACCAUCUUCGUGUUCUUGUUCAUGCCAUUCAAAGAAUUUUACCUACAGUGACACAAACCUGGACACUUCACCUCAUUUCAGUAGUCCA